GAUGAACGCUUUCGGCUUUCCUAAUACAUGCAAGUCGAGCGAACAGACGAGGAGCUUGCUCCUCUGACGUUAGCGGCGGGCGGGUGAGUAACACGUGGAUAACCUACCUAUAAGACUGGGAUAACUUCGGGAAACCGGAGCUAAUACCGGAUAAUAUAUUGAACCGCAUGGUUCAAUAGUGAAAGACGGUUUUGCUGUCACUUAUAGAUGGAUCCGCGCCGCAUUAGCUAGUUGGUAAGGUAACGGCUUACCAAGGCGACGAUGCGUAGCCGACCUGAGAGGGUGAGCGGCCACACUGGAACUGAGACACGGUCCAGACUCCUACGGGAGGCAGCAGUAGGGAAUCUUCCGCAAUGGGCGAAAGCCUGACGGAGCAACGCCGCGUGAGUGAUGAAGGUCUUCGGAUCGUAAAACUCUGGUAUUAGGGAAGAACAAAUGUGUAAGUAACUAUGCACGUCUUGACGGUACCUAAUCAGAAAGCCACGGCUAACUACGUG
rnacentral:rRNA from 1 species